GGAUAGCUCAGUUGGUUAGAGCAUUGGGCUGAUAAUGCCAAAGUUGCAGGUUCGAUCCCCAUAUGGAACA